UGGGCUUUAGUGAUAAAUCACUGGUAGUGUACAGUCUUGGAAAUCUGCAGGUGACACUGACUUGAGCUGAAGAUGGCUAUGUCAGAAGGUGAAUGGAAUCUGGUGCUGAAGGGAUGGGCUAAAGUUGAAUCGGACCCGGCAGGCGUCGGCCAAGCUGUUCUACUUCGUUUUUUUAAAGAUCAUCCUGAAGGUAAAUCCCAUUUCCCGAAGUUCGAGCACCUCUCUCUCGCUGAGCUACAGACCUAUGCAGGUGUCAGGACUCAUGGUGAAGCUGUCGUCAACUUGCUGACCAAGAUGUUCAGCACGAGAGGAAAACAUGCCUCUCUCCUGAAGCCGAUGGCCGAGGAACACUGCAAAACGCUCAAGAUCCCAGUCAAGUACUUUGAGAUGAUCUGUGAAGUCAUUGUGAAAGUGAUGACUGAGAGUUACCCUGACUUUGGGCCAGAUGGUCAAGCUGCAACCAGGAAAGCACUGAAGAUUGUCUGCAAAGACAUAGCCGGCUAUUAUGAAUCAUGUGAAUCGACCAGAUAGACAAUCUGUUGUCGGCUUCAAGAGGAGCUUUAGAAAGUGAAGCUACAUGGUUUUUCAUUGUCACGGUUACUCUAUUUUUAUGAUCGUAAAUUCUUCUAGAUGCAAAGAAAGAUAAGGUGAAAUGAAAAGGGGGAUAGAACAUGUCUUGUUAUACAUAGGCUGAAACCCGCAGAGUGUCUCCUCGUCUCCAUUACUUAGAAUUUGAACCUUUGGGUGUAUAAAUAAAGGGCUCUAAUAAUUCUUCAUUUGCUUGCUACAACAUUCUAACCUUUCUUUCCCCUGACAGCAUUUAACAUGUAGUAACUACUGUAUGUUUUGUAUUGAUUUUCUUUUACUUGGAGUAACCUUUUAUGAAAUCCAUUAAAUAAAAAUUCUUUGUUACCUGG